UACGGGGGGGGCAAGCGUUGUCCGGAAUCAUUGGGCGUAAAGCGCGUGUAGGCGGCUCGAUAAGUCUGCUGUGAAAGUCCAAGGCUCAACCUUGGGAUGCCGGUGGAUACUGUCGAGCUCGAGUCCGGAAGAGGAGUGUGGAAUUCCUGGUGUAGCGGUGAAAUGCGCAGAUAUCAGGAGGAACACCAAUGGCGAAGGCAGCACUCUGGGACGUGACUGACGCUGAGACGCGAAAGCGUGGGGAGCAAACAGG
rnacentral:rRNA from 1 species